UAAUUUAAGCGUAUCUAAUUAACUUGGGGUGUUGAGUUUCAUAAUUUAUUGAAAGAACAACUGAAAAUUAUUUUGUUUGCAAGUGUGUCAUGUGUGGAGAAGAACCUUUAACUAGCCUUUUAUCCAUCCUUUUCAACCAAAAAUGUUUUACAAUCUGUUUUGUUUUAAAGUUUCUGUUUUGUUUUCAAUUUUCGUCCAAAACAAAUCCCCCUUUAUUUUGAAGUCUUAGAUUAGUUAGAAAGUGUUUUGAUUUGUGUUUCUAAGUGUUUUGAUUCAAGUUUUCAUCCAACUUCGUCCCAGUUCUUGCUAGGUUCUCAAAACUGCCCAGAAAGUGGUUUUUAGGCAGUUUUGAGU
rnacentral:lncRNA from 1 species